GAUGAACGCUGGCGGCGUGCCUAAUACAUGCAAGUCGAGCGAACAGACGAGGAGCUUGCUCCUCUGACGUUAGCGGCGGACGGGUGAGUAACACGUGGAUAACCUACCUAUAAGACUGGGAUAACUUCGGGAAACCGGAGCUAAUACCGGAUAAUAUAUUGAACCGCAUGGUUCAAUAGUGAAAGACGGUUUUGCUGUCACUUAUAGAUGGAUCCGCGCCGCAUUAGCUAGUUGGUAAGGUAACGGCUUACCAAGGCAACGAUGCGUAGCCGACCUGAGAGGGUGAUCGGCCACACUGGAACUGAGACACGGUCCAGACUCCUACGGGAGGCAGCAGUAGGGAAUCUUCCGCAAUGGGCGAAAGCCUGACGGAGCAACGCCGCGUGAGUGAUGAAGGUCUUCGGAUCGUAAAACUCUGUUAUUAGGGAAGAACAAAUGUGUAAGUAACUAUGCACGUCUUGACGGUACCUAAUCAGAAAGCCACGGCUGACUAUGUG
rnacentral:rRNA from 1 species